rnacentral:rRNA from 1 species
CAGAGGAGCUUGCUCCUUGGGUGGCGAGUGGCGGACGGGUGAGGAAUGCAUCGGAAUCUGCCUAUUUGUGGGGGAUAACGUAGGGAAACUUACGCUAAUACCGCAUACGUCCUACGGGAGAAAGUGGGGGACCUUCGGGCCUCACGCAGAUAGAUGAGCCGAUGCCGGAUUAGCUAGUUGGCGGGGUAAAGGCCCACCAAGGCGACGAUCCGUAGCUGGUCUGAGAGGAUGAUCAGCCACACUGGAACUGAGACACGGUCCAGACUCCUACGGGAGGCAGCAGUGGGGAAUAUUGGACAAUGGGCGCAAGCCUGAUCCAGCCAUGCCGCGUGUGUGAAGAAGGCCUUCGGGUUGUAAAGCACUUUUGUCCGGAAAGAAAAGCGCUCGAUUAAUACUCGGGUGUUAUGACGGUACCGGAAGAAUAAGCACCGGCUAACUUCGUGCCAGCAGCCGCGGUAAUACGAAGGGUGCAAGCGUUACUCGGAAUUACUGGGCGUAAAGCGUGCGUAGGUGGUUUGUUAAGUCUGAUGUGAAAGCCCUGGGCUCAACCUGGGAACUGCAUUGGAAACUG